UUCAUGGAGAGUUUGAUCCUGGCUCAGGACGAACGCUGGCGGCGUGCCUAAUACAUGCAAGUCGAGCGGCC
rnacentral:rRNA from 1 species